rnacentral:rRNA from 1 species
GAUGAACGCUGGCGGCGUGCCUAAUACAUGCAAGUCGAGCGAACAGAUAAGGAGCUUGCUCCUUUGACGUUAGCGGCGGACGGGUGAGUUACACGUGGAUAACCUACCUAUAAGACUGGGAUAACUUCGGGAAACCGGAGCUAAUACCGGAUAACAUAUUGAACCGCAUGGUUCAAUAGUGAAAGGCGGCUUUGCUGUCACUUAUAGAUGGAUCCGCGCCGUAUUAGCUAGUUGGUAAGGUAACGGCUUACCAAGGCAACGAUACGUAGCCGACCUGAGAGGGUGAUCGGCCACACUGGAACUGAGACACGGUCCAGACUCCUACGGGAGGCAGCAGUAGGGAAUCUUCCGCAAUGGGCGAAAGCCUGACGGAGCAACGCCGCGUGAGUGAUGAAGGUCUUCGGAUCGUAAAACUCUGUUAUCAGGGAAGAACAAAUGUGUAAGUAACUGUGCACAUCUUGACGGUACCUGAUCAGAAAGCCACGGCUAACUA